rnacentral:rRNA from 1 species
GACGAACGCUGGCGGCGUGCUUAACACAUGCAAGUCGAACGAGGCCCCUUCUUCGGUUGGGGUUCUAGUGGCGAACGGGUGAGUAACACGUGGGCAACCUGCCCCUGGCUCUGGGAUAACUCCAAGAAAUUGGGGCUAAUACCGGAUAUGACCGCUGAUCGCAUGGUCUGGUGGUGGAAAGAUUUAUCGGCUGGGGAUGGGCCCGCGGCCUAUCAGCUUGUUGGUGGGGUAGUGGCCUACCAAGGCGACGACGGGUAGCCGGCCUGAGAGGGUGACCGGCCACACUGGGACUGAGACACGGCCCAGACUCCUACGGGAGGCAGCAGUGGGGAAGUAUUGCGCAAUGGGCGAAAGCCUGACGCAGCGACGCCGCGUGGGGA